rnacentral:lncRNA from 1 species
CUUUCAUCUAUAGGAUGGCGGGAAGGAGGAGUACUACGGGCCGCUACGAGGUUCAAUCCAAGCUCAUUUAAUCUUGUUUGUCGGUGCUUCCGGAAGAGCGUAUUUAAUCUUUCUAUAAAUAUUUAAUGAUUCUCUGCUACGCGCCUGGAGCUGCUAUAAAUGCUGAAAAAACAGCAGUGAACAAAACAGAUAAAAAUUCUUGUCCUUGUGGGGUUGAGAUUCUAGUGGAACAAGACAGAUACUAAAACCAACAGGAGCCGGCGCCGUGGCUCGCGCCUGGAAUGUCAGGUACUCCCGACGCUGAGACGGGAGGAUCACGUGAGCCCAGGAGUUGGACACCAGCCCUGGGCAACAUAGCGAAACUCUUGUCUCUACAAAAAAUUUAAAAACUAGCCAGACUUUGGCCCGGCGCGGUGGGUCACGCGUGUAAUCCCAGCACUUUGGGAGGCCGAGGCGGGCGGAUCGCCUGAGGUCAGGAGUUCGAGAUACGCCCGGCCAACCUGGUGAAACCCGGUCUCUACUAAAAAUACAAAAGUUAGCUGGGCGUGGUGGCGGGCCCCUGUAAUCCCAGCUACUCGGGAGGCUGAAGCAGGAGAAUGGCUUGAACCCGGGAGGCGGAGGUUGCGGUGAGCCGAGAUCGCACCAUUGCACUCCAACCUGGGCGACAGAGCGAGACUCCGUAUCAAAAAAAAAAAAAAAAAUUGGACGUGAUAGCGCCCACCUGUGGUCUCAGCUAGCUACUCAGGAGACUGAGAUGGGAGGAUCGCUUGAACCCAGGAGGUCGUGGCUAUAGUGAGUCGUGAUCGCACCACUGCACUCCAGGCUGGGUGACAGAGUGGUACCCUGUCUCAAAAAAAUGGUAAAUAUUUAUAGUAGUGGGUUAGGUGGAGCAAAGUGAAGCAGGGAAGAGGGGAGUCCAACUUUACAGAGGAUAGAGAAAGGUUAUCUCGUCUUUUUUAAAUUUAUUUUUGUUUUUGUUUUGUUUUGUUUUUUGAGACGGAGUCUCACUCUGUCGCUCAGGCUGGAGUGCAGUGGCGCUAUCUCGGUUCACUGCAAGCUCCACCUCCCGGGUUCACGCCAUUCUCCUGCUUCAGCCUCCCGAGUAGCUGGGAUUACAGGCGCAUGCCACCACGCCCGGCUAAUUUUUUUGUAUUUUUAGUAGAGACGGGGUUUCACCGUGUUAACCAGGAUGGUCUUCAACUCCUGACCUCAAGUAAUCUGCCCGCCUCGGCCUCCCGAAGUGCUGGGAUUACAGGCGUGACCCACCGCGCCCGGCAGGUAAUAAUUAUUGUAGGAUUCAAGGAAGAAUUACAUGUGAAGAUCCUUGUAAGUGUUUAAUACAAUAUACACACUAACCCCUCCACAAAAGGUAAUUAUUACAUAGGAGAAAAUUGAUAGAAGUAACUUGUCCACAGAUAUCACCUGUUCUAGCAAUAAGGCCAAACUUCCAGCCUGGUCUGUCAGACUCCAAAAUGGCCUUCCUCCUUUUAGAAAAGGGAAAUAUUAGCAAGCGUUGGGACCUGAGGAGAGGGAGUUUUUGUUUUUGUUCUUCUACCCUAUGUUCUCUGAUGGUAGAAUUGCAACCAAAUAAUAAUAAUAAUUGCUAGUUUAUUUGAAUGUUUACUAUGUCAUAGGUUCUUUAAAUGCAUUGAUUUACUUAAUCCGUUCAACAACCCUAUUUAUUCACAUUUCAGAUGAGGAAACUGACCUUUAGAAAGAGUAAGUACCACAAAGAUUACUUCCUGGUCCUAAGGGGUAAGUUAACUGUGCCCCGGCUCUUACCACCAUAACACCGUGGUAAAUCUUAACAUAAUGGCAGAACAACCAGAUAUUAUGUGUCUCCUGCUGGGAUGACAAUAUUAAGUAGCUACCAUCAACUAUGACUUUUUUUUUUUUUUUUUUGAGAGAGGGUCUCGCCCUGUUGCCCAGGCUGGAAUGCAGUGGUUCUAUCACAGCUCACUUCAGCCUCAACCUCCCGGGAUCAAGCAAUCCUCCCUCUUCACCUUCCAAGUAGCUGGGACUACAGGCACCUGACACCAUACCCUUGUUAAUUUUUUUAAUUUUUUGCAGAAAAAGGGUCUCAAACUCCUGACUUCAAGCAAUUUCCCACCUCAGCCUCCCAAAGUUCUGGGAUUACAUGUGUUAGUUAGCCUCUAUACCCAACAACUAUGACAUAUUAUAAAAAAUGUUUAGUAGCCACAAAAAUUAAAAAUAAUUUUUAAAAAAUGUUUAACUUAGAUCUAAUCAAGUUAACAGGAUAGUCUAUAGGAUCAGCUAAAGGAAAGCAAAAGGCAGCAAACAAAUUCUGGCAGUAGGAUGUUGUAAGGACAACUGGCCUCUUUCCUUCACUAAUUUAGGAAAAGGUAUUUUUCUAAAUUUAAAUAUUAAGAGACAUAACAACCAGAUGUAGUGUAUCAUCUACAUCUAGAUCCUAGUUUGGACAAACCAGCUAUAAAGGACAUUUUGCAGAAAAUGCCUGGGUCUUGAUGUUGCAUUUCCAGAAACCCACCUUUGUCCAGGUACCUUCAGUUGAUUUUCCUCAAGGGAAUGGAUUCAUCAGUUAUGUUGUUUAUUUUGUUUUGGUUUUUGUUUUUUUCUGAGAUACGUUCUCACUCUGUCACCCAGGCUGGAGUGCAGUGGCACUGUCUCGGCUCACUGCAACCUCCGCUUCCUGGGUUCAAGAGAUUCUCAUGCCUCAGCCUCCCGAGUAGCUGGGAUUACAGUUGUGUGCCACCGUGCCCGGCUCAUUUUUUUGUAUUUUUAGUAGAGACAGGGUUUCACCACGUUGGCCAGGCUGGUCUCGAACUCCUGACCUCAAAUGAUCUGCCAGCCUCAACUUCCCAAAGUGAUGGGAUUACAGGCAUGAGCCACCAUGCUCGGCCCAUCAGUAAUGUUUUGAUUUCUUCCUGAUUUCCCUCUGUGCUGACCCUGGCCUUUUUUUUUUGCUUUCAAGUCUAUUCUUCACUUUUCCCCUGCUCUUUUCAAAAUGGCAGUGGAAGCCGGGUUCAGUAGCUCACACUGGUAAUCCCAGCUACUCAGGAGGCUGAGGUAGAAGGAUCACUUGAGCCCAGAAGUUGGAGGCUACAGUGAGCUAUGGUCUGGCCACGGCACUCCAGCCUGGGCAGUGGAGCGAGACUCCAUCACUAUUAAAAAAAAAAAAAGGUCAGGCAUGGUGGCACGCACACCUGUAAUCCCAACACUUUGGGAGGCCGAGGCGGACAGAUCGCGAGGUCAAGAGAUUAAGACCAUCCUGGCCAACAUGGUGAAAACCCGUUUGUACUAAAAAUACAAAAAUUAGCUGGGCAUGGUGGUGUGCACCUGUAGUCCCAGCUACUCAGGAGGCUGAGGCAGGAGAAUGGCUUGAACCCAGGAGGUGGAGGUUCCAGUGAGCUGAGAUCAUGCCACUGCACUCUAGCCUGGCAACAGAGCGAGACUCCGACUCAAAUAAAAAAAAAAAAAAGUCAGUGGUGGACUGACUCCAUGAAGGCUGCAUGGGCUGGACUCCAAUACUGGUUGACUUCCAAGCUGAAUUGCUGGGCUCCAUCAAUUGGAGGCAUUUUCUGGAGAUUGGAGAGAUCAAGGAAAAAGCCAGAGUAUCUCCUACCCUGACACCACCUCCAAGCCAGAGUAUCCAUCCUCUCCCCACCCCUCAACAUCAGGCUGUCUCCUACAACCUACUUGGAUCUAACUUGUAGUAGUUGAUCCUAGACCCUGAGCUCUGGUAGCACAGUGUUGUCCUGUCCCUCUAGUGUAAGGGUGGCAGUAGCUUCUUGCUGUCACUCAUCUCUGUCUGGGCUAUUUGACUAUUCUGUUUGGCUUUUUGUCUCUGCCAACACCUGUAUAAACCAUUUAUCUGGAUUAAGUUCCCUGUGUUUUUUUUUUUUUUUUUUUUUGAGACGGAGUCUCGCACUCUCGCCCAGGCUGGAGUGCAGCGGCACAAUCUCGGCUCACUGCAAGCUCCGCUUCCCGGGUUCACGCCAUUCUCCUGCCUCAGCCUCCCGAGUAGCUGGGACUACAGGCGCCCGCCACCAUGCCCGGCUAAUUUUUUGUAUUUUUUAGCAGAGACGGGGUUUCACCAUGUUAGCCAGGAUGGUCUCGAUCUCCUGACCUCGUGAUCCGCCCACCUCGGCCUCCCAAAGUGCUGGGAUUACAGGCGUGAGCCACCGCGCCCAGCCUGUUCCCUGUGUUUUAAAGACUUAGAAUGGUUUUCCAGGUUGGACCUUGACAUAUAUGUAUAUAUACAUAUGUAUAUAUGCUCAGAGUGACCUUAUCUCCAAGUCCCAAGGGGUAUCUCCAUCAUUUCCUGCCCAUAGGCCCUGCUAUCUUGUAAAGCAGUGCUUUUCACACUUUUUCUCUGAAUGUCCAAGGCAACUGAGAGAGUUCAUUUGUCACCCUCAUUCCUCUAGGUCUAUAGCCAAAAUCCCUAGUGCCCACCUGAGCUUGAAAUGCCCUUGAAAUCUUGUGCUCUUGCGUGGUGUCCUAAAAACUCACAGUUAGUAAUCUACUUCAUAACACAUCUAUGUUGUUCUUAAGGUAUUUUACAUUUAAAAUGUAUUUUAUUUACUUAUAUUUGAAUAGGUAGUGUAUACACAUGGUAGAAAAUUAGAAAACCACAAAAAUGUUUCCUAGCCACACCCUUGUUCCCAGUUUCUUUUCUUUUUCUUUACUUCUUCUUUUUUUUUUUUUUUUUUUUUUUUUUUUUUUUUUUGAGAGAGAGCCUUGCUCUGUCGCCCAGUCUUGAGUACAGUGGCGCGAUCUCAGCUCACUGCAAUCUCCGCCUUCCAGGUUCACGCCAUUCUCCUGCCUCAGCCUCCCGAGUAGCUGGGACUACAGGCGCCCACUACCAUGGCCAGCUAAUUUUUGUAUUUUUAGUAGAGAUGGGGUUUCACUGUGUUAGCCAGGGUGGUCUCAAUCUCCUGACCUCGUGAUUCACCCAACUCAACCUCCCAAAGUGCUGGGAUUACAGGCAUGAGCCACCACGCCCGGCCUCUUUUUUUUUUUUUUUUUUUAUAGAGACAGAGUCUCACUCUGUAGCCCAGGCUGGAGUGCAAUGGUGUGCUCUUGGAUCACUGCAACCUCCACCUCCCGGGUUCAAGUGAUUCUCCUGCCUCAGCCUCCCCAGUAGCUGGGACUACAGGUGUGCACUGCCACGCCCAGCUAAUUUUUCUAUUUUUAGUAGACACAGGGUUUCACCAUGUUGGCCAGGCUGAUCUUGAACUCCUGGCCUCAAGUGAUCCACCUGCCUUGGCCUCCUAAAGUGCUGGGAUUACAGGCGUAAGCCACCGCACCCAGCCCCUUGUUCCCAGUUUCUUACAUAUCUUUCCAGAAAAAGAUUAUCCAUAUGCAAACAAAAAUAUGUUUCCUGGUUCUGUUUUACAGAUGCAUAGUAUUUCGUUGUGUAGAUGUACCUCCAUAUAUUAAUCAGUCCUUUAUUGAUGAAUGCUUAAAUUGUUUCCUGUCUCUUUCUAAUUUAGUGAUGCUGCAGUACAUCAUUAAUUCACAGACAUGCAAAUAUGUUUAUAAGAUAAAGUUUGGGCUGGGCACUGUGGCUCAGACCUAUAAUCCCAGCACUUUGGGAGGCCGAGGCGGGUGGAUCACCUGAAGUCAGGAGUUCAAGACCAGCCUGACCAAGAUGGUGAAACCCUGUCUCUACUAAAAGUAGAAAAAUUAGCCAGGUGUGGUGGCACGCACCUGUAAUCCCAGCUACUCGGGAGACUGGGGCAGGAGAAUCACUUGGACCCAGGAGGUGGAGGUUGCAGUGAGGGGAGACGGCACCAUUGCACUCCAGCCUAGGUGACAGAGUGAGAAUCUGUCUCAAAAAAAUAAAUAAAAUAAAUAAAAAAGAUUGGCUGGGUGCGGUGGCUCACACUUGUAAUCCCAGCACUUUGGGAGGCCAAGGUGGGUGGAUCACCUGAGGUCAGAAGUUCGCAACCAGCCUGGCCAACAUGAUGAAACCAUGAAAACAUGGUGAAACAUUCUCUACUAAAAAUAGAAAAAUUAGCCAGGCGUGGUGGCACACACCUGUAAUCCCAGCUACUUGGGAAGCUGAGGCAGGAGAAUCACUUGAACCCGGGAGGCAGAGGUUGCAGUGAGCCAAGACCGUGCCAUUGCACUCCAGCAUGGGCAACGAGCAAAACUCCAUCUCAAAAAAAGAAAGGAAAAAAAAAAGAUAAAAUUCUAGGAGUGAAAUUGCUAGGUUGAAGAGCUUUCUUUGCAUUUGUAAUUUUGAAAAAUAAUGCUAAAUCGCCCUUCAUUGUGGUUAUAUUUGAGAGUGCUUUUUUACCGUAUCUGAUAAAUAAAAAAUGGCAUUGUGUUAUCAUUUCUUUUUUGAGACAGAGUCUCACUCUGUCACCGAGGCUGGAGUGCAGUGGCCGAGUCUUGGCACACUGCAAACUCUGCCUCCUGGGUUCAAGUGAUUCUCAUGCCUCAGCCUCCCAAGUAGCUGAGAUUACAGGUGCACGCCACCACACCUGGCUAAUUUUUGUAUUUUUGGUGGAGUUGGGAUUUCAGCAUGUUUGCCAGGCUGGUCUUGAACUCUUGGCCUCAAGUGAUCUGCCCACUUCGGCCUCCCAAAGUGCACAGGCGUGAGCCACUGUGCCUGGCUGUAUUAUAAUUUUAAUUUGUGUUUCUCCAUAUGAAUAAAGGUGAAUAUAUUUCAUAUGUUAAAAAGUCCAAUGAGCCUGGGCAACAUGGUGAGACCCUGUCUCUACAAAAAAUACAAAUAUUAGCCAGGCAUGGUGUCACACACCUGUAGUUUCAGCUACUCAGAAGGCUAAGGUGGGAGGAUCACUUAAGCCCAGGAGACUAAGGCUGUACUCAGUCGUGAUUGUGCCACUGCACUACAGCCCAGGCGACAGAAUGAGACCCUGUCCCAAAAAAAAAAAAAAAAUAUUUCACAGAUCCUUCUUUGUAGAUUGCCUUUUUUUUUUUUCUGACAGAGUCUCACUCUGUCACCCAGGUUGGUUUGAGACAGAGUCUCACUCUGUCCCACCCAGGCUGGUUUGCGACAGAGUCUCACUCUGUCACCCAGGUUGGAGUGCAGUGGUGUGAUCUUGGCUCACUACAAACUCCAUCUCCUGGGCUCAAGUGAUUCUCAUGCCUCAGCCUCCCAGGUAGCUGGGAUUACAGGCGCCCGCCACCACACCUGGCUAAUUUUUGUAUUUUUUGUAGAGACGAGCUUUCACCACGUUGGCUAGGCUGGUGUCCUAAUUCCUGACCUCAAAUGAUCCACCUGCCUUGGCCUCCUAAAGUACUGGGAUUGCCUGACUGCCUUUUUAUAUUCUUUGCCCCUUUAUCUGUUAUAUUGUUAGUCUCAUCCUUUUUUUCUUUUUCGUUUUUCUUUUUCUUUCUUUUUUUUUUUUUUUUUGAGAUGGAGUCUCGAUCUAUCGCCCAGGCUGGAGUGCAGUAGUGGGAUCUCAGCUCACUGCAGGCUCUGCCUCCCGGGUUCACACCACUCUCCUGCCUCAGCCUCCCGAGUAGCUGGGACUACAGGCACCCACCACCAUGCUCAGCUAAUUUUUUUGUAUUUUUUAGGAGAGACAGGGUUUCACCAUCUUAGCCAGUAUGAUCUCGAUCUCCCGACCUCGUAAUCUGCCUGCCUUGGCCUCCCAAAGUGCUGGGAUUACAGGCAUGAGCCACCAUGCCUGGCCCUAGUCUCAUCCUUUUCUUAUUGAUUUGUAGAGAGCUCUUCAUAUAUUAAGGAAAUUAACUCCAUGCCUCUUAUAUGAUUUGCAGAUAUUUUUCCACUUGUUAUUUGUCUUUGGCAUUAUUUUGGGUAGUUUUUAUCCUGAAAAAAAGGUUUUAAUUUGUAUGUUGGUCAAACUUAUUUAUCUUUUCUUUUUUGACUUCUGGGUUUUAUGUCACAUGUAGAUAGGCCUUCACCUUUCUAAGAUUAUUUGUUUAAAUUCUCUCACACAUUGGCUGGGCAUGGUGGCUCACGCCUGUAAUCCCAGCACUUUGGGAGGCAGAGGUAGGUAGAUUGCCUGAGGUCAGGAGUUUGAGACCAGCCUGGCCAACAUGGCAAAACCCCGUCUCUACUAAAAAUACAAAAAUUAGCUGGGCAUGGUGGCACAUGCCUGCAGUCCCAGCUACUCAGGAGGCUGAGGCAUGAGAAUCGCUUGAACCUGGGAGGCAGAGGCUGCAGUGAGUCGAGAUCAUGCCACUGCACUCCAGCUUGGGUGAAAGAGCAAGACUCCAUCUCAAAAAAAAUAAAAAAAUAAAUUCUCCCACAUAUUUUUCUUUUCUUUUUUUCUUUCUUUCUUUCUUCUUUUUUUUUUUCUUUUGAGAAGGACCUCUAACUGCAUCUCACUGAAAGAGAAAAAAAGAAAGACAGUCUCACUCUGUCACUCAGGCUGGAGUGUGGUGGUGCAGUCAUAGCUCACUGCAGCCUUGGCCUUUUGGGCUCAAGCAGUCCUCCCACCUGAGCCUCCCAAGCAGCUGGUACUAUAGGCACAUACCACCAUGCCUGGCUAAUAAUUAAAAAAAAUUUUUUUAGAGACAAAGUCUUGCUAUGUUACCCAGGCUGGUCUUGAACUCCUGGACUCAAGUGAUCCUCCCGCGUUGGCCUCCCAAAGUGCUGGGAUUAUAGGUGUGAGCCACUAUGCCUAGCUCAUUUUUUCUGAUUCUUUUAUUAUUUUAUUUUUUUCAUGUUUAUAUCCUUUAUCCAUCUGGAACUUAUUUUAAAGUAAGGUGUGGAAGAGGGAUCUAUGCUAAUUUUUCUUUUCACAAACAUCAACCUAGUUAUCCUAGCACCAGUUUUUGAAAAUCUAUCAUUUUUCCUACCAAUUUGAAAUCCUAUUUUAUUAUAGGCUAAACUCCUCUACAUUCUAUUUAACCUCUGGGCUUUCUGGUCUGUUUCAUUGGUCUAUUGAUUUGCCUCUACCAAGUGUUUUAAUUAUUACAACUCAUAUCUGCUAUUUUAAUAUAACAGUCUAUGUAAAUUAACCAGUUGAGUUACUUAGCUUUAUCCCUUCCUAAAAAAUUCUUCCAGUAGGCCGGGUGUGGUGGCUUAUGCCUGGAAGAAAUUUUCUAGUUGCAUAUGACAAAACCCUACUUAAACCUGCUUAGGUAAAUAGGAUAUAGAGGCUCAGCAAGCUGGGACAUUGAAGGGUAGAUUUAUCCUCAGGUGUGAUUGACUUAGGGCCUGAAAUAAUGUCACUCGGUCUCUCUCCUUUUCUCAUCUCUGCUUGUUUGCUUCUCUUUGCACACUGGCCUCAUUGUCCCACGUUGCAGCCUGGUUUCCUCCACACAGAUGGGACAGCCUCAUUUAUCUCCAAACUUCCAUUCUUCUAGCACAUAAUGCCAGAAGCCAGGGAAGGACCUAAAUGGGCACACUUAUACAUCAAGAAUCCUCCUUGGUUGGGGAUGAGUAGAAAACUGUGAUUGCCAGUCCCACUUAAACCUUAGGGAGAGAAGGAGGAAUACCCAAAACUUGGGGGAGUACUGUUGUCAAAGAAGAAGUAUAAAAACGCAUCCUGGGCCCAAAAUGGUAUGUACAGCUGCAACCACUGGUCUUGCCUAACCCAGUCUGCAAAGCCUAACUCAAAGGAGGUACCAGUUUAAGGUGGUAAUUUCCAUUGUCACCACCAGAAGACUUGAGUCCUUAGUUCCAUAGUAAACUACACCUUCCUCAACUCUCCUAUAUCUUUCCACAAUGCUGAAACACAAAAAGUAAUAGUUAUUCAACAAAUGUUUACUGAGCAUUCUCUUUGUGUUCAGGUCUCUGUUGGCCACCAUUAAUAGGAAAAUGAGUAACACACUGUGCCCAUCUUCAAGUUUAGUGUGGGACAUAAGCAUUUAAACAAAGAAUUGCAGCCUUUUUUGGUAAGGACUAUGAUAAGACAACUUUAUCAAAAGGCAGUAGCACAGUGGUCAUGAGCACAGCCUCUAGAUCCAGUCUGCCUGUGUUUGAAUCCCAGUAUCACCACAAGCUGCUGCUUUGAUCUUGGGGAAGUUGCUUAACCUCUUUGUGUCUCAGCUUUCUCAUCUGUAAAAUGGAGAUGAUAAUAGUACCUCCUUCAGAGGGUCAUGGCUGUGAGGGCUGAUUAAGAUCAUUCUCUUAAAGCACUUGGCAGGGUGUGGUGGCUCAUGCCUGUAAUCCCAGCACUUUGGGAGGCCAAGACAGGCGGAUCACGAGGUCAAGAGAUUGAGACCAUCCUGACUAACACGGUGAAACCCCAUCUCUACUAAAAAUACAAAAAGUUAGCCGGGCGUGGUGGCGGGUGCCUGUAGUCCCAGCUACUCAAGAGGCUGAGGCAGGAGAAUGGAGUGAACCUGGGAGGCGGAGCUUGCAGUAAGCCGAGAUCGCGCCACUGCACUCCAGCCUGGGUGACAGAGCGAGACUCCGUCUCAAAAAACAAACAAACAAACAAAAAACGAAUAAUAAAGCACUUAGCACUGCAUGGUAAGCAUGCAGUAAUUGGUGGAUAGUGUUGGGACUGUCAGUAAGAAUAAGUACCCAAAACCUAGGUCUCUUGAAUUCCAAAUCCAGGAAUCCCUCCAAACCUCUUCAGGGUCACACAGGGGAUGAGCUGUGGAACUGGAGAGGCAUUUUUCUUCUCCCAAUAAGAUACUUCAGCUUCACUUUGUUGUUUUGUUUGUUUUUACACCUUGUUUCUACUCCAUCAUAUCAGCUUCGCUUUGUAGCCAUCGUUGGCUGUUGACUCCUCCAUCUGUUAAGCACUCUUCAGAAUCUACAAUUCUUAGUUCCAUUGCCAAACCUCAGGGCCCUGAAGUGCAGGGGAGAGGCUGAAUUCCAAAGACAGACUUGCUUCUGUACUCUGAGUGAUACUUCCAGAGCUGUUGAUCUGUUGAUGGAUGCCUCACUGAGAAAGAUCAUACCAUUGUGGCCUUCCCUGCUAACUUUUCAUUUUGAACUGAGAGCUUGUGGCCAUGAAGUGGACUCAGAAGGCUAAAACUGGAUCUUUCUAUUUGGAAACAACAGCUGGAUGUAGGGAUGUAAAAGCUCACGCCAGGCCUCCCAGGUAGGUGUAAACAUAGCUGUGGCUGGGAUGACUGUGGCUGGCAAUCUUCAUCCCACUCUACCCUGCAAGUGAAAUCGCUUGGGAGGUGACCUAGCUGCUGCUUUCCAAGGCCAUGGGUAUCUGGAGACAAAGCUUUCUCCACCUAGCCUGGGCAAAUGAGAACAACACUAAGACUACGAUGAGGAUGCCCAUCUGGCACCUACAAGGUGGUGGCAGACACCACCCAUCUUUGCCUGGCUAUGUGGGAAGGAAAUAAUUAUUCGUUAGUUCUGCUGUUACUGUCCUGGCUCCCUCACAGUAAACAAAGGGCUCACUACUGAGAAUAGAAAAGGCCAAAGUCCCAGGGCCUGGGGAACAUGUUCUUUGUUGAACCUCUUUAUUAAUCUAAAGCUGUUGGACCAACAGGUUGUGGUGUUAGGCGGAAGCUGGGCAGGCACUAAUCACUAAGGCAGAAGAACGGGUUUGGCAGGGUAGUUUUGAGUAGCAGCUUAUUGAAGAGGUGUUAUUACUCACUUUUUUAUUUUUUAUUUUUUUGAGACAAGUUCUCAAUCUGUCACCCAGGCUGGAAUGCAGUGGUACGAUCUCAGCUCACUGCAACCUCUGCCUCCCGGGCUCAAGUGAUCCUCCCACCCCAGCCUCCCGAGUAGCUGGGACUACAGAUGCAUGCCACCAUAUCUUUUGCAUUUUUUUGAAGAGACUGGGUUUCACGGUAUUGCCCAGGCUAGUCUUGAACUUCUGGGCCCAAUCUAUCUGCCCACCUCAGCCUCUCAAAGUGUUGGGAUGACAGGCAUGAGCCACCCCGCCGGCCCUAUGACUCACUCUUGAAAUGUCUUUUCUUAGAUAGAUAUGAUCUUUGGUCAGGGAGUAUUCUAUUAGCGCAGGAAGCUUUCAGUCUGAUUCUAGGGGUGGCAAGCUGGAAACAGGAUCAUGAGUGGCCUCUAUAUGGCUUCAUACUCCAGCAGAACCUGAGGUUGUGGUUGGGAAUGAGACACAUACAAACACACAAACACACCCACACACAUACGCCAUUCUGCUGCCCUAUGGCAUGUUAUCUUUUAGUGGCUUGGCUUUUACUGGGAGAGAAGGGAAACUAACAUUUAUUAAGCACCUAGUUUGUGUCAGCACUAGGCAAUGUGCUUUCAUUAUGUUAUCUGAUGGGAUUUGAUUUUGAAGCUUUUUUUACUGAUAAGGAAACUGAGACUGAAGGAGAUGAUAUAAUCUGAACAAGAUUGCAUAGUUAAUAUGUGGGAAAAAGAGAAUUUGAGCCCAAAUAGAGUCCAGCGCUUACCCACUUUCCAUUGAAUACACUGCCUGUACACCUGAGACCGCCACAGUCCAGACCCGAGUGCAACCUGCCCCAAGUAACUCCUUUGCUGCAAUGGCUGAAGCUCAUUUUUUUCACAUAGAGACUUCAAAUCACCAACAUGUAGCCCCCAGCUGGAACGCCUUCCACAUAAAAGGGAUAGCUCCCCUAAAAGGUAUAUAUUUUAUGUCUUUUUUUUUAACUUUUUUUUUUUAAGAUGGGAUUUUUAUGUUGCCCAGGCUGAUCUUGAACUCCUAGCCUCAAGUGAUCCUCCUGCCUCAGCCUCCCAAAGUGCUAGGAUUAUAGGAGUGAGCCACCACACCUGGCAGGUGUAUCUUAUUGUAUGUAAAUUAUACCCUCAUUAAACCUGACUUUUUUUUUUCUUUUUGGUUGUAAGUUUAUUCAACGCAAAAGAAUCCUCUCCAAUUUUACUGAGGUAGCUGACUAUGUCCACAACCAAAUCCGCCUCUAAACUGGAAUUCAGUUGCUGACCCAGCCCCAGACUCGGCUUUCUUGUCGGCACCAGGUGGCACAGCACUCUGUCUGUAGGUAUCUCUGUCAGCUUCCCAUCUUGUGAGUCUCGCAGGCACAAUCUCCGGGGGCAGAUGAAGGUAAUCAUGGAGAUACUGGAUACCCUCAUUGGUAAGGUACCAGUAGAAAUGUCUCCAGGCAAACUGUUCCUUCACGUAGCCUCGGGACUAGAGAGACUGCAUGGCUUUCAUGACAUGAAGGUUGGGCACAUUCUUGUCUGCCAGCUCCGGGUGCUUAGGCAUGUGGACAUCCUUCUUGGCCACCAUGACUCCCUUCUUAAAAAGGAGUUCAUAAAUGGCAAUCCGGUUCUUCUUAGGCAUCAACAUCUCUGCGGCUGCAGGGGCCGGGGCCGGGGCUGGAAAAGCUAAACCUGACUUUUUAUUUUUAUUCAUGUACUGAUUUAGAGGCAGGGUCUCAUUCUCUUGCCCAGGCUGGGGUGUAGUGGCAUGAUCAUGGUUCACUGUAACCUUGAACUCCUGGGCUCAAGCAAUCGUCCUGCCUCAGCCUCCCUAAGAGCAGCAGCUGGAACUACAGUCACACCACCACAUUUGUUUUUGUUUUUUGUUUUUAGGAUUUUUUUCUCUUUUUUUGAGACAUGAUCUCACUCUGUUGCCCAAGCUGGAGUGCAGUGGCGGGAUCACAGCUCACUGCAGCCUCAACUGCCUGGGCUCAAGGAAUUCCCCUACCCUCAGCCUCCUGGGUACCUGGGACCACAGACAUGUGUCACCAUGCCCAGCUAGUUUUUUUUAUUAUUUGUAGCCAAGAGGUCUCACUGUGUUGUCCAGGCUUGUCUUGAACUCCUGAGCUCAAGCAGUCCUCCUGCCUUGGCUUCCCAAAGUGCUGGGAUUACAGGAGUGAGCCACCACUCCUGGCUGGACAUCCAGCUAAUUUUUGAAUUUUGGGGAUUAUAGGCAUGAGCCACCAUCCCAGCCUAUUUAUUUAAGUGUAGUCAAAGCAGUGAGGAAGAAGGAAAGAGUAGAACAGCCAGGUGCAGUGGGUCACACCUGUAAUUCCAGCACUCUGGGAAACUGACAUAGGAGGAUCACUUGAGCCCGGGAGUUACCAGCCUGGGCAACAUAGGGAGAUCUCUUCUCUACCAAAAAAAAAAAAAAAAAAA